rnacentral:rRNA from 1 species
ACGGCUCAGUAACACGUGGACAACCUACCCUUGAGUCGGGGAUAAACCCGGGAAACUGGGUAUAAUACCCGAUAGUCCUCGGCUGCUGGAAUGCAUCGAGAACGAAAGCUCCGACGCUCAAGGAUGGGUCUGCGGCCUAUCAGGUAGUAGUGGGUGUAGCGUACCUACUAGCCUACGACGGGUACGGGUUGUGAGAGCAAGAGCCCGGAGAUGGAUUCUGAGACACGAAUCCAGGCCCUACGGGGUGCAGCAGGCGCGAAAACUUUACAAUGCUGGAAACAGCGAUAAGGGGACCUCGAGUGCCAGGUUACAAAUCUGGCUGUCGUGAUGCCUAAAAAGCAUUGCAUAGCAAGGGCCGGGCAAGACCGGUGCCAGCCGCCGCGGUAACACCGGCGGCUCGAGUGGUAACCGUUAUUAUUGGGUCUAAAGGGUCUGUAGCCGGCCGGAUAAGUCUCUUGGGAAAUCUGGCAGCUUAACUGUCAGGCUUUCAGGAGAUACUGUCUGGCUCGAGGCCGGGAGAGGUGAGAGGUACUUCAGGGGUAGGGGUGAAAUCUUGUAAUCCUUGAAGGACCACCAGUGGCGAAGGCGUCUCACCAGAACGGACCUGACGGCAAGGGACGAAAGCUAGGGGCACGAACCGGAUUAGAUACCCGGGUAGUCCUAGCCGUAAACGAUACUCGCUAGGUGUCGGCCACGGUGCGACCGUUGUCGGUGCCGUAGGGAAGCCGUGAAGCGAGCCACCUGGGAAGUACGGCCGCAAGGCUGAAACUUAAAGGAAUUGGCGGGGGAGCACCACAACGGGUGGAGCUUGCGGUUUAAUUGGAUUCAACGCCGGG